GGAGCUUGCUCCCGGAGAUUAGCGGCGGACGGGUGAGUAACACGUGGGCAACCUGCCCUGUAGACUGGGAUAACACCGAGAAAUCGGUGCUAAUACCGGAUAAUACCUUUCUCCUCAUGGAGGGAGGUUGAAAGUUGGGAUUACUAACACUACAGGAUGGGCCCGCGGCGCAUUAGCUAGUUGGUAAGGUAAUGGCUUACCAAGGCGACGAUGCGUAGCCGACCUGAGAGGGUGAUCGGCCACACUGGGACUGAGACACGGCCCAGACUCCUACGGGAGGCAGCAGUAGGGAAUCUUCCGCAAUGGACGAAAGUCUGACGGAGCAACGCCGCGUGAGUGAUGAAGGUUUUCGGAUCGUAAAGCUCUGUUGUUAGGGAAGAACAAGUGCCGAACGAAUAGGUCGGCACCUUGACGGUACCUAACCAGAAAGCCACGGCUAACUACGUGCCAGCAGCCGCGGUAAUACGUAGGUGGCAAGCGUUGUCCGGAAUUAUUGGGCGUAAAGCGCGCGCAGGCGGUCUUUUAAGUCUGAUGUGAAAGCCCCCGGCUCAACCGGGGAGGGUCAUUGGAAACUGGGAGACUUGAGUACAGAAGAGGAGAGUGGAAUUCCACGUGUAGCGGUGAAAUGCGUAGAUAUGUGGAGGAACACCAGUGGCGAAGGCGACUCUCUGGUCUGUAACUGACGCUGAGGCGCGAAAGCGUGGGGAGCAAACAGGAUUAGAUACCCUGGUAGUCCACGCCGUAAACGAUGAGUGCUAGGUGUUAGGGGUUUCGAUGCCCUUAGUGCCGAAGUUAACACAUUAAGCACUCCGCCUGGGGAGUACGACCGCAAGGUUGAAACUCAAAGGAAUUGACGGGGGCCCGCACAAGCAGUGGAGCAUGGUGGUUUAAUUCGAAGCAACGCGAAGA
rnacentral:rRNA from 2 species